CUUCAACGACCCGAGCAGCAGCGGCCGUUCCGCGUCGCGCUGCUGCCCGUACGUCGCGAGCAGCGCCUGCGCCUC
rnacentral:antisense_RNA from 1 species